rnacentral:rRNA from 1 species
AGAGCGAACGCUGGCGGCAGGCCUAAAACAUGCAAGUCGGACGGAUCCUUCGGGAUUAGUGGCGGACGGGUGGGUAACACGUGGGAACGUGCCUUUUGGUUCGGAACAACUCAGGGAAACUUGAGCUAAUACCGAAUGUGCCCUUCGGGGGAAAGAUUUAUCGCCAUUAGAGCGGCCCGCGUCUGAUUAGCUAGUUGGUAGGGUAAAGGCCUACCAAGGCUACGAUCAGUAGCUGGUCUGAGAGGAUGAUCAGCCACACUGGGACUGAGACACGGCCCAGACUCCUACAGGAGGCAGCAGUAGGGAAUCUUGCGCAAUGGGCGAAAGCCUGACGCAGCCAUGCCGCGUGAAUGAUGAAGGUCUUAGGAUUGUAAAUUCUUUCAGCGGGGACGAUAAUGACGGUACCCGCAGAAGACGCCCCGGCUAACUUCGUGCCAGCAGCCGC